GAAGCCUUAUGAAUACAAGUCUCCACCACCACCACCGAAAGAGAAGCCUUAUGAAUACAAGUCUCCACCACCUCCAUCACCUUCUCCACCACCUCCUUAUGUGUAUAAGUCUCCUCCACCUCCACCAAAGCAUGAGGAGAAGCCUUAUGAAUACAAGUCUCCACCACCACCACCGAAGGAGAAGCCUUAUGAAUACAAGUCUCCACCACCACCACCUCCAUCUCCAUCACCACCUCCUCCAUACUACUAUAAAUCUCCACCACCUCCAUCACCAUCACCACCACCUCCAUACUACUACAAGUCCCCACCACCACCACCAAAGCAUGAAGAACAACCACCAUAUUACUACAAGUCACCUCCUCCUCCAUCUCCAUCACCACCUCCUCCAUACUACUACAAGUCCCCACCACCUCCUUCACCAUCACCACCACCUCCAUACUACUACAAGUCUCCACCACCACCAAAACACGUAGAGCAACCCCCAUACUACUACAAGUCUCCUCCACCUCCAUCACCCUCACCACCACCACCUUACUACUAUAAAUCUCCACCACCACCUUCACCAUCUCCACCACCUCCUUACUACUACAAGUCCCCACCACCUCCAUCUCCAUCACCACCUCCUCCAUACUACUACAAAUCUCCACCACCACCACCAAAGCAUGAAGAACAACCCCCAUACUACUACAAGUCUCCACCACCACCUUCACCAUCUCCUCCACCACCUUACUACUACAAAUCUCCACCACCACCCCCACAUUACGUCUCACCACCAUACUACUACAAAUCUCCACCACCACCAGUGAAGUCUCCUCCCUACUACUACCAUUCUCCUCCACCACCAACUCCUUACUACCCCCACCCCCACCCUCACCCCCACCCCCACCCACAUCCGCUCAUAGUCAGGGUGGUCGGAAAAGUUUACUGCUACAGAUGCUAUGACUCAAGCUACCCAGAGAAAUCACACGGCAAGAAACAUCUCGAAGGUAAAUUAAUUCAUACAUUAAUGCAUUUAUUAAUUGAUUUAUUUUCAAUUUCGUAUGUUUUAUUUAUUUCUUAGUUUCAAAUUUUUGUGGAACUUUGUCACGUGAUUUAGAGGUUAAAAUAAGAUGUUUAUGAAUAUUUUAAUUCAAAUAGACGUAAACAUAAUAAUUAAAGGAAUCUGAAGUUAUUCUUCUGGAAGUUUAAAAAAAAUUAAAAAAUAGAUUAUAAAAAUAAACAAAGUCUGUUUUUGUUUCUUAUAUGUUUGAAAAUAAAUUAUGACUCUAUUGUCUGUCUAUGUAAUAUUUUUAUAUAAUUUAAUAUUCAAUUCAUAAUAAUUUAAUGAUAAAAACUAUUGUUAUAAAUUACUCUAAAAUUAUAGCUUUCUUUAUUAAGGGCUGCACCAUAUAUGGAUGCACAAGUCAACAUAAGUAGUGAACACAUAAGUCAUGUCUAUGGAAAAACUGUUUUUUUUUUUUUUGAUUAAAUUAAUUCAUGGAAAGACAAAAUUAGUUAUAAAAUAGUUGAUGUCUAAAUAGAAAAAAGAUAUUUUGAUUGACUUUUUAGCAAAAAAGAAACUAAAUUUUCAAUUAUUGCACAUGGAGCAGGUGCUACUGUGGAAGUGACUUGCAAGGAGGGUGAAAAGGAAAUCACUGUCUAUGGAAAGACCAAAAACAACGGCAAAUUUGCUGUCACUGUUGAUGGGUUUGAUUAUGGCAAAUACGGAGCCAAGGCAUGCAUUGCCAAGCUUCAUGCCCCACCCAAGGGUUCAUCAUGCAACAUACCCAUGAGUGUACAUGAUGGCAUCAAGGGUGCUGUGCUCAAGGUCAAGUCAGAGGACAAUUAUGAGGUUGUGCUAAGAGCUAAGCCAUUUGGUUAUGGUUCAAAGAAACCUUACAAGAAGUGUGAAAAGUACACUCCUAAGCCUCCGACUCAUCCGUACAAGCCACCACCGUACUACUAUAAGUCUCCACCUCCUCCGGCUCCCACUUACGUUUACAAGUCACCACCUCCACCAUCACCAACUUAUGUUUACAAGUCACCUCCACCUCCUGUGUACUACUACAAGUCUCCACCACCACCAAAGCAUGUGGAACAACCUCCAUACUACUAUAAGUCUCCACCUCCACCGGCUCCCACUUAUGUUUACAAGUCACCACCUCCACCAUCGCCGACUUAUGUUUACAAGUCACCUCCACCACCUGUGUACUACUACAAAUCACCACCACCACCCACUUAUGUCUACAAGUCUCCACCACCACCAAAGCAUGUAGAGCAGCCCCCGUACUACUACAAAUCUCCUCCACCACCAUCGCCAUCUCCUCCUCCACCAUACUAUUACAAGUCCCCACCACCACCAGUUCACUCUCCACCACCACCAUACUACUACAAGUCCCCACCACCACCAAAACAUGUGGAGCAACCUCCAUACUACUACAAAUCUCCUCCUCCACCAUCGCCAUCUCCUCCACCACCAUACUACUACAAAUCCCCACCACCACCAAAACAUGUAGAGGAGCCCCCAUACUACUACAAAUCUCCUCCACCACCAUCACCAUCUCCUCCUCCACCAUACUACUACAAGUCCCCACCACCACCAAAACAUGUGGAGCAACCUCCAUACUACUACAAAUCACCCCCACCACCAUCGCCAUCUCCUCCUCCACCAUACUACUACAAGUCCCCACCACCACCGAAGCAUGUAGAGGAGCCCCCAUACUACUACAAGUCUCCCCCACCACCAUCGCCAUCUCCUCCUCCACCAUACUAUUACAAAUCUCCUCCACCACCAUCACCAUCUCCUCCUCCACCAUACUACUACAAGUCCCCACCACCACCGAAACAUGUAGAGGAGCCCCCAUACAUCUACAAAUCUCCUCCACCACCAUCGCCAUCUCCUCCUCCACCAUACUACUACAAGUCCCCACCACCCCCGAAGCAUGUAGAGGAGCCCCCAUACUACUACAAGUCUCCCCCACCACCAUCGCCAUCUCCUCCUCCACCAUACUAUUACAAAUCUCCUCCACCACCAUCGCCAUCUCCUCCUCCACCAUACUACUACAAGUCCCCACCACCACCGAAACAUGUAGAGGAGCCCCCAUACAUCUACAAAUCUCCUCCACCACCAUCGCCAUCUC
rnacentral:lncRNA from 1 species